rnacentral:lncRNA from 10 species
GCACAAUGCCCUGCAUUAUGGGGACAUUUUAUGCAAAUAGCACUUAGGCUGUGUGAAACUCUGUAUCAGACACUGUAGCCCAGGCAAAUACCUCUUACAGAAAGAUCUUCAUCCCAGUGCAGAGCCACCUCACAUGGCCCUGAGGAUUAAAGGACCAGCCAACCCUUCAUGUCUACUCCCAAAUGAAAAUGACCAGGUUUUGAACAGACCAAGCUCUGAGUGGUGGCCCAGGAAGCUAGAUAUGCCAGAAAUAUACCCAGAGAAAGCAAGAUACGAGAUCCAUGCAACUAAAGAGAGAAAGAAGCAACGAUCAUUCCCAAAUGUUGGCCAAGAGACAGCAUAAGGCGACAGGUGCGCUGGGCAGGACACAGGCUGGAAGUGCUCAGGGGUUAUCUUGUGCAUUUCCUGCCUGUGCCCCACAGCGCACCCACAAUACAAGCAGUGCCUUCCUUGUAUUCGUUGAUCAGAUAAACCAAGAAGAACCAUCAGGCCUUAAAGACAUGGAGCACAGAAACUGGGAGAGAAGGUCACAUGUUGGUAGAUGCCAGGCUCCACUGUAAUAAGUCCUGCUGGGUACCCCAAGGUGGGCCCUGAGAAGCUCAGGCCAGCAUGAGGUCCUGGACCCUGGAGUUGAUGAUCAGAAAAUUAUCAACUCCUGGAAAAAGCAAACGCCCUCAAGACCAUCUCAGUUACAGUUCUCCUUUUAGCAAUGAGAAAAAUGUAUGCUUUAGAAUCUUGCCUGUCUAGUUCUACAUCCAUUUAACAUAUCUGCUUUUGAUGGACUCCCAGAUAAAUGCAUGAAACGUAAAUA